GAAAGAGAAGGGAAUAUAAAAGAGAAGAUUCAGCUCAAAUGGGCCCCAAUGUACGAUUUAUGAAGUAUAUAAACAAAAACAGACAAACAAAAGACUGAUAAAAGUAUAUGACACGAGAAAAAAAAU